GCCAGCGUGGUAUAGUGGUUUCCGCAUUGGACUAACAUUCUGUAGACCAGGGUUUGAAUCCCUGCUCGAUCA